AGCAGCCGCGGUAAUUCCAGCUCCAAUAGCGUAUAUUAAAGUUGUUGCAGUUAAAAAGCUCGUAGUUGAAUUUCGGGGUUCAUACGUUGGUCGGGCUUUUUUGGUCUGUACUGGUGUAAUGGAUUCCUACCUUCUGAAUAACCGGCAUGUCAUUAAUUUGGUGCGCCGGGGAAGCAGGACUGUUACCUUGAAAAAAUUAGAGUGCUUAAAGCAGGCUAUCGCCUGAAUACAUUAGCAUGGAAUAAUGAAAUAGGACGGCAUGGUUCUAUUUUGUUGGUUUCUAGGAUCACCGUAAUGAUUAAUAGGGAUAGUUGGGGGCAUUAGUAUUCAAUUGUCAGAAGUGAAAUUCUUGGAUUUAUUGAAGACUAACUUCUGCGAAAGCAUUUGCCAAGGAUGUUUUCAUUAAUCAAGAACGAAAGUUAGGGGAUCGAAGACGAUCAGAUACCGUCGUAGUCUUAACCAUAAACUAUGCCGACUAGGGAUCGGACGAUGUUAAUUUUUAAUGACUCGUUCGGCGCCU
rnacentral:rRNA from 1 species